GAGCAAUCCUGGCGGCGAGUGGCGAACGGGUGAGUAAUACAUCGGAACGUGCCCAAUCGUGGGGGAUAACGCAGCGAAAGCUGUGCUAAUACCGCAUACGAUCUACGGAUGAAAGCAGGGGACUCGCAAGAGCCUUGCGCGAAUGGAGCGGCCGAUGGCAGAUUAGGUAGUUGGUGGGGUAAAGGCUCACCAAGCCAACGAUCUGUAGCUGGUCUGAGAGGACGACCAGCCACACUGGGACUGAGACACGGCCCAGACUCCUACGGGAGGCAGCAGUGGGGAAUUUUGGACAAUGGGCGAAAGCCUGAUCCAGCCAUGCCGCGUGCAGGAUGAAGGCCUUCGGGUUGUAAACUGCUUUUGUACGGAACGAAAAGUCUCUUUCUAAUAAAGAGGGAUCAUGACGGUACCGUAAGAAUAAGCACCGGCUAACUACGUGCCAGCAGCCGCGGUAAUACGUAGGGUGCAAGCGUUAAUCGGAAUUACUGGGCGUAAAGCGUGCGCAGGCGGUUAUGUAAGACAGUUGUGAA
rnacentral:rRNA from 1 species